UCUCCCUGGGCUCUGCACCACUGAAAGGCUCCAGACGGCUCGGGCCCUGGGCCAAGCUGCUUGGUUCCAGUGGGAAAGCUGACCUUGGCCAGGAAGAACCAGGAAGAGGCACAAAUGACUCAUUGUCCCACAUCCUCCAAGAGUCGAGAUCUGCUUAGUGCCAAGUGUGAUGUGGACAAUUGCCUGCUGGAUGGAGACAGAAACUCAUUUCCCAUCUGUCAAGCAGCCUGACACAGAGUUGGUAAUGAUUUUCUGUCAGGCGAGGCCUGGCUGGAUUUGAACCCAUGACCCAGAGGCUGUAACCCCAUCACUUUGCUGAAAGUUUUAUGUAAAUAAAGAUGCAAGAAGAGACCAAAAUGAGCAGCUGGUGUUACUUCUGUUUUGAAACAGAGAGUGCACAGAUGAAGAGGGAUUUCCAGGAAACAGGGCGUUCUGGUCUUCUGGAUGUGGCAAAGUCUUCAUCAGAAGGGACAAGCUCCAGAACAACAGCAAGUGUGCCCCUCAUUUCUUUGGAAUUCCCCUUUCAGGAGCUCUGAGAGCAUGUUAAGAGUAACAAAACUAAUUUGAAAUUUGAUUAGAGCCCAGAGCAACAUAGAUGUGGGAACUUUCUAGCAUUUUCCAAAAGAUUUUCAUUUAUACAGUGGAGUUUUCCAGAGGCUACAUGACAUGUGAUAUCAAAAGAGAUCUGAUACAGAAGCAGAUAUGAGACACCAACAGUCUUAUGUUAAGCCAGGCAUUAAAGAGAUUUGCAAAAUGCAAAACAAUA